rnacentral:snRNA from 1 species
GUGCUCGCUUUGGCAGCACAUGUACUAAAAUUGGAACGAUACAGAGAAGAUUAGCAUGGCCCCUGUGCAAGGAUGACAUGCAAAUUUGUGAAGUGUUCCAUAUUUAA